GUUUGAUGUUCUAACGUUGACCCGUAAUCCGGGUUGCGGACAGUGUCUGGUGGGUAGUUUGACUGGGGCGGUCUCCUCCUAAAGAGUAACGGAGGAGCACGAAGGUUGGCUAAUCCUGGUCGGACAUCAGGAGGUUAGUGCAAUGGCAUAAGCCAGCUUGACUGCGAGCGUGACGGCGCGAGCAGGUGCGAAAGCAGGUCAUAGUGAUCCGGUGGUUCUGAAUGGAAGGGCCAUCGCUCAACGGAUAAAAGGUACUCCGGGGAUAACAGGCUGAUACCGCCCAAGAGUUCAUAUCGACGGCGGUGUUUGGCACCUCGAUGUCGGCUCAUCACAUCCUGGGGCUGAAGUAGGUCCCAAGGGUAUGGCUGUUCGCCAUUUAAAGUGGUACGCGAGCUGGGUUUAGAACGUCGUGAGACAGUUCGGUCCCUAUCUGCCGUGGGCGCUGGAGAACUGAGGGGGGCUGCUCCUAGUACGAGAGGACCGGAGUGGACGCAUCACUGGUGUUCGGGUUGUCAUGCCAAUGGCACUGCCCGGUAGCUAAAUGCGGAAGAGAUAAGUGCUGAAAGCAUCUAAGCACGAAACUUGCCCCGAGAUGAGUUCUCCCUGACUCCUUGAGAGUCCUGAAGGAACGUUGAAG
rnacentral:rRNA from 1 species